rnacentral:rRNA from 1 species
GAUGAACGCUGGCGGCGUGCCUAAUACAUGCAAGUCGAACGAACAGGCGAUGCUCUUGCGCCGCUCACGUUUGCGGCAGACGGGUGAGUAACGCGUGUAUAACCUCCCUGUCAUACUGGUAUAUCUUCGAAAAACCGGAUCUAAUACCGUAUAAGAUAUUGACCCACGUGGUUCAAUAGUGAGAUUCGGUGUUGCGGUCACGUAUAGAUGGAUCCGGGCCGCAUGAGCUAGUUGGGAAGGUAAAGGCUUACCACGGCAACGAUGCGUAGCCGAGCUCAGAGAGUGAUAGGCCACACUGGAGCUGAACCACGGUCAAGACUACUACGGGAGGCACCAGUAGCGAACCGUCCGCAAUGGGCGAAAGCAUGACGGAGCAACGCGGCGUGAGUGACGAAGGUGUUGGGAUCGUAAAACUGUGUUAUGAGGUAAGAACAAAUGUGUACGUAACUAUGCACGGCUUGACGGUAAUUAAUAAGAAAGCAACGGCUAACUACGUG